CUUAACAAAUUUUAUCUUGUUCUAACCAUCCAAACCACCUACCCCACCCUCUACCCUUAUCUCUUUAUUUUAUUAUUUUUUUCUUAACAAACUCACAAAAACAAAAAUACACCUCACCAAAAGAAAUAUAUACACACCAUGCACAACAUGUGAGGAGGGGAUUUUCCACCAUGGACACAAAAUUUCCAUUUCUCUAAUCACAUACGGGCCCACACAAUUUCCAUUUUGGGAUAUUUUUUCAUACACACACAGUAUAUACUAGAACAGAUCUCACCAUCACAAAUCCGGGGCACAGACACCAUUGCCUUAUACAUAUGCCACUACCAGAGAGAAUACAUGCCAUCAACACCUCCUCUAUCACUUUUUUUUCUUUUCAAAGACACCAUCAGUUUCCAUUUUCUCCAACAACGGAUACAAUUCUCUGACCAUUAACAUAUGAAACAAUUUUUGCUGCUUCCAGGAGUUUCACACACAUACACCAGAUCCGAAGGAAAAUGGGAUAGAAGAGAGAUUGAGGGAGACAGUGAAAACGUGAGAUUGUGAGAGAGAAAAUCAAAAUCGAGAGAAAAAGCACACAAAGAAGCAAUUUUCUGGCAAAUUCUCACCGAAAAAUGUCACUGGCAUAAAAAAAUUCGACCAAUCUUUCGAUUUUGUUCGCCGCCGAGCUCGCCGAAGCUCCGGCGAGGUGAAAACAGUGUACUCAGCUUCACUCCGAUCCAAACCACUCCCUAACAGUCCCUGCUGUCCCUUUUCCAGUGCGGGUCUCUCUUUCUCGCACAAUUAUUGAUUCGCGUGGGCGAUAAACAGUAAAGGGGUUUCGGUUUUAGGUGUUCUAUCCUUUUUGGUCGUUGGUAGUCGAUUCGAGUUGACGAUUUGUUCUUGAGGUUGGUCGAGGUUCGUUGGUUCGUGAGCUCCGAUCUGUCGCUAAUUGUUCAGAAUAAAAUUGAGGUCCAUUUCUCAUCUCCUUCUCAAUUAAUCUUAAUCAUUUGAUGCUUUAUGAGUUGAAUCCAUGGUGUGCAGCUUUUAUUUUUGUUGAUUUUAAUAUGUUUGGACCAUCAUAUUGAUUGUUUGAAUUGAAUGAUUUAAACUCAAUUGGAAAUAAGUUGGGAUGGAAAUGAAAAGUUGAUAAAGUGAAUAUUGUCGUUUUUAUUCAUUGAUGUCAUUGAUUGUAAAAGUGGCAGGAUCGGUUGAGCAGGGUAGGCAAACAGUAGUCUCGGGUAGGCAGAUUUAGGACCUGUGGAAUGUUGAAUGCUUGAAAUGCGUGUUGAAUGGUUUAAUUUUAUUGCUUUUGGAUCGAAUGUAUUAUUUGGUCGGGGAAUGCCCCGAGGUAUUUGUGUUUAUUCGUCGGGGAAUUCCCUGAAGUAUUCUGUACCCGAAGGACGUUCGUGACGAAGGCUCGAGGUGUCGGGUGGAACUUAGUUUAGGACUAGCUAAAAAUAGAAUUUAUAUUUUUUUGCAUUUUUUUAUUUUGGACUGUAUAAUUGGACUGGAUAUUAUUAUUUUGGCUUUUGGAUUGUUGUUUGAUGUGUUUGUUGCUUGUUUUAUGUGUUUGAUGUGAUUUAUAC
rnacentral:lncRNA from 1 species